GUGGCAGCAGACCAGCCGGACUCUCAGGCAUGGACCUGUGUGGGAAGUUCAAGGAGAGCAAGAUGAAGGAAGAUAACAACAAAGAAUGUAAAUGGGUUGUGGUUGUAUUGGGAUCAGAAGAGAGAAAGUGAUAAAGCAUGGAUAAAGCAUUCCUCUGUGGCCCAAAUUUCUCGGAAAUACAGCUGAAUGCUGCAGCAGGAGCAUUUCUCAUACCUG
rnacentral:lncRNA from 1 species